UACGGAGGGUGCAAGCAUUGAUCGGAAUUACUGGGCGUAAAGGGCGCGUAGGCGGUCCGUAAAGUCAGGUGUGAAAUUCCGGGGCUCAACCCCGGAGCUGCAUUUGAAACUUACAGACUAGAGUACAGUUAGGGAAAACGGAAUUCCACGUGUAGCGGUGAAAUGCGUAGAUAUGUGGAAGAACACCGGUGGUGAAGACGGUUUUCUGGGCUGAAACUGACGCUGAGGCGCGAAAGCUAGGGGAGCAAACAGG
rnacentral:rRNA from 1 species